rnacentral:rRNA from 1 species
AACGAACGCUGGCGGCAUGCCUAACACAUGCAAGUCGAACGAGACCUUCGGGUCUAGUGGCGCACGGGUGCGUAACGCGUGGGAACCUGCCCUUAGGUUCGGAAUAACUCCCCGAAAGGGGUGCUAAUACCGGAUAAUGUCUUCGGACCAAAGAUUUAUCGCCUUUGGAUGGGCCCGCGUUGGAUUAGCUAGUUGGUAGGGUAAAAGCCUAUCAAGGCGACGAUCCAUAGCUGGUCUGAGAGGAUGAUCAGCCACACUGGGACUGAGAAACCGCCCAGACCCCUACCGGAUGGCGGCGUUGGGAAUAUUGGACAAUGGGCGAAAGCCUGAUCCAGCAAUGCCGCGUGAGUGAUGAAGGCCUUAGGGUUGUAAAGCUCUUUUACCCGGGAUGAUAAUAACAGUACCGGGAGAAUAAGCUCCGGCUAACUCCGUG